rnacentral:tRNA from 1 species
GAGGGGAUAGCUCAAGUGGGAGAGUGCAUGCUUAGCAUGCACGAGGUCCUGGGUUCAAUCCCCAGUACCUCCA